UACGUAGAGUGCAAGCGUUAAUCGGAAUUACUGGGCGUAAAGCGUGCGCAGGCGGCUUUGCAAGACAGAUGUGAAAUCCCCGGGCUCAACCUGGGAACUGCAUUUGUGACUGCAUGGCUAGAGUGCGGCAGAGGGGGAUGGAAUUCCACGUGUAGCAGUGAAAUGCGUAGAUAUGCGGAGGAACACCGAUGGCGAAGGCAAUCCCCUGGACCUGUACUGACGCUCAUGCACGAAAGCGUGGGGAGCAAACAGG
rnacentral:rRNA from 1 species